GCAUGGCAUGUAUCCAUCACAUACCGACAUGUCUGAUGUUCUAUGAGUGGGUUUCCCCUCGUGAGCUAAUGGCUAGUUGGUGGUGCUUGAUCUUUGCAAUGGGACGACGCAUGAGUGGUGAUUAGGAUGUGUUUUCAUGCAGGCUCUUCGUAUGAUGCAUUGAACUGUGUGGAGCUAUCCGUUUCAUUAAUCCAUUGUGUCGGCUUGUAUUUGCUCGUUGUGAAAUGAUCUGGUGGUUUCUGUGUUGGCUACCGAUUUUGGUAUGCGGAAUUGAUGGAUUCCGUUGUGCUUUGUUCUUUCUGCCACCGGCCUGUUCGGCAAAGGUGGACGUUGCAUCGGUCUCCCAUGUUCCACGCAAGCUAUCCUUCCAUGGGUGGGAUUUGUGAUGGCUCAUGGGUGGCUGUCUAUGCUCUUGGGUGUGUGAAAUAUUCGGUUGUUGUCCGGGUCUUUUGACCUGUACGUAUAAUUUCUCGAGCAUUUAGCUCUGCUUUGUAUGACCCUCAUGCUUGUUCCCGAGCUCAUCGAGCCUUAGUGCUUGCUGUUCAUCACGGAGAUGCCGAGGUCUAUGAGGAAAGC
rnacentral:misc_RNA from 1 species